AUGUUCUCGGGAGACUACGAUUGGGAGGAGAUGAAGACCCGGGUGUGGGGGAGCCACGCCCCGGCAACCACGUCCCAUGCGACGUUGGUCAAGCCCGUGCAAGUUCGCACGACAAAGGCGUACCCGACAUCCUCGGGACCCGACAAGCCCGUGUCAGGAGGCACGACAACGACGCAUCUAGUGGGCCACGUCCCGACCAUGAUGCUGGCAACCAGUGAGCCCGUGCAAGAGGCACGACACUCUAAGGUCGGCCACACCCCGACAACCAGGUUCUCGGGGUUCUGCAAGCCCAUGUGGGCGACACGGCACUCUUCGACAAGCCUCAACUGGGAGGCAAUGAAGAGACGGUCAUGGGGCGGCAAGGCCUCGACCGAGACUAUGGCGACCAUUAAGUCCAUGCAGGAGGCACAACGCUCUAUGGUUGGCCACGCCGCAACCCAGACGCGCUCGGGGUCCAUCGAGUCCGUGCGGGAGGCACGACUCACAACUAUUAGGGGAGACCCAACAAGCAAGUCUGAUGGGAAGAGCGACAAGGAAUCCACUACCUUGGGAGAAGCCACACCGGGUAGUGCGAUGUCCGAUAAGUCAUCCCCGGGAAGGGAGUUCCCGGGUAUCAUGACGUCUGACACGUCGACCCAGGAAGGGAGUUCCUCGGUAGUGUGA
rnacentral:rRNA from 1 species